GGAAAAAGGUUUCGGGAACGUGGCUCCUCCGGGAGUGUUAUAGCCCGUUGCAUAAUACCCUGCGGUGGACUGAGGA
rnacentral:rRNA from 1 species